GACCUGUCACAACGGCUUCCUGGCGUGGCAGCGUUAUCCAAUGGAGCA
rnacentral:ncRNA from 2 species